CAAAAUAUGAGUUCAACGGGAUUUGAACCCAAACGUUAAUAGUGAUAGGCCAAACGGCCUACCACUAAGCCACCAGGGACGACCUGAAAUUCUUGUGAAAUUAAAGACAAUAGUAGAUUGUUGUGACCUGCUUAUCUCAUGAGGUGAAGGAGACUAUUAUGCGGUGAAUGGCGGUGAACGCGGUGAAAGAAUUCAAUAUGAAAUCAACACAGAAUGAUUAGCUGGAUCUCUUCGGGUCAGGUUCAACAUAGCAAUAUUUUUUUCUGCUUGUAAAGCGAUUUCUCACAUAGAAAUAUAAAAAGAGGAAAAAAUAGCCAGAUUAUAUAAAGAUUAAAGGGAAAAAAAAUUGUGAGUCUGCUACAAAAUAUGAGUUCAGCGUGAUUUGAACUCAAACGUUUAUCGAGAUAGGCCAAACGAACUAACACUAAGCCACCAGGGACGAUCUGAAAUUUUUGUGAAAUUAAAGACAAAAGUAGAUUGUUGUGACCUGCUUAUCUCAUGCGGUGAAGGAGACUAUUAUGCGGUGAAUGGCGGUGAACGCGGUGAAAGAAUUCAAUAUGAAAUCAACACAGAAUGAUUAGCUGGAUCUCUUCGGGCCAGGUUCAACAUACCAAUAUCUUAUACUACUUGCAAAGCGAUUUCUCACAUAGAACUAUAAAAAGAGUAAAAAAUAGCCAGAUUAUAUAAAGGGAAAAAAAAUAUUGUGAGUCCGCUACAAAAUAUGAGUUCAACGUGAUUUGAAACCAAACGUUAAUAGAGACAGGCCAGACGAACUACCACUAAGCCACCAGGGACGAUCUGAAAUUUUUGUGAAAUUAAAGACAAUAGUAGAUUGUUGUGACCUGCUUAUCUCAUGCGGUGCAGGAGACUAUUAUGCGGUGAAUGGCGGUGAACGCGGUGAAAGAAUUCAAUAUGAAAUCAACAGAGAAUGAUUAGAUGGAUCUCUUCGGGCCAGGUUCAACAUAGCAAUAUUUUAUACUACUUGCAAAGCGAUUUCUCACAUAGAACUAUAAAAAGAGUAAAAAAUAGCCAGAUUAUAUAAAGGGAA
rnacentral:lncRNA from 1 species